CAAGCAGCCAACCAGCCAAGCAUCAAGGCAUAUGCUAGUCUAAGAUGCCUUUUUGAUGCUGUCCUAUCUAGUCUAAGAUGCCUAGGACUGUCCUACCCUAAAAGUAGUCAACAAAAGUGGUGCUGCAGCAAGCAUAUGCUGCAGCCCCACUGUCCUCCUUCAGUCAACAAAGGACUAGCAGUAUCUACAGCAGCCCCACUGUCCUCCUCCAGUCAACAAGGAGGACAGCAGU
rnacentral:lncRNA from 1 species